GGGGCAGUACUGGUUUCGACAGGGGCCAUGCAGCUGGUGAAGCUAUCCGUAUGCAAUGCGUGAAAUGGCAAACCUAAAUAUAAACGCUGAAGAUAAUUUAGCAUACGCUGCUUAAUUGCAGCUGUCAGCCUUAGAGCACUCACACUUUAAGAAUCUGGCAUCGACUUUGUGAGAAACGACAUAUACAAAGCUUUGCGUAUAUGGGCGUAAUAUGAAGCUACUGAAACCGUCAGGGUGUCUGUUCCCGGACGGCGGAGGGAACGAAAAAGAACAGACUAUGAUAGUAGAAGAACAGGGAAUUGGUUUUUGGACACGGGUUCAACUCCCGUCUGCUCCA
rnacentral:tmRNA from 1 species